GACGAACGCUGGCGGCGUGCUUAACACAUGCAAGUCGAGCGGUAAGGCCCUUUCGGGGGUACACGAGCGGCGAACGGGUGAGUAACACGUGGGUGACCUGCCCUCAGCUCUGGGAUAAGCCUGGGAAACCGGGUCUAAUACCGGAUAUGACUCCAUGACGCAUGUUGUGGGGUGAAAGCCUUGUGCGGCUGAGGAUGGGCCCGCGGCCUAUCAGCUUGUUGGUGGGGUGAUGGCCUACCAAGGCGACGACGGGUAGCCGGCCUGAGAGGGCGACCGGCCACACUGGGACUGAGACACGGCCCAGACUCCUACGGGAGGCAGCAGUGGGGAAUCUUGCGCAAUGGGCGAAAGCCUGACGCAGCGACGCCGCGUGAGGGAUGAC
rnacentral:rRNA from 1 species